rnacentral:rRNA from 1 species
UUGAAAGGGAAACGAUUGAAGUCAGUCGUACCAGCGGGAAAUCAACCUUUCGAGUGGGGUUUUGGAGUUUUGAAGUGUGUCAAAACCCUGAAGAUUUCAAAAUUUUCGCUCUUUUGGUGUACUUUCUCGCAGGCAGGUUAACAUCGAUUUUGAUCAUCAUAAAAUGAUCGGAGGAAUGUAGCUUCGAUCUCGUAUUGAAGUGUUAUAGCCUUUGGUAGAUGUAAUGAUCGAGAUCGAGGAUUGCAACGAAUACCCUUUUGGGCUAUCCGUCUGAUCUCUGAUACGUUGCCUCGGUAACGAAAGCGUGCUUACGGUAUUGAGGUAUAACGGUCAAAAGGUUAGAACGUGAUUACAUUCGUUAAGGAUGUUGACGUA